rnacentral:tRNA from 1 species
CACUAAGAAGCUAAACGGUCAACAGCGUUAGCCUUUUAAGCUAAAGAAUGGUGACUACCAACCACCCUUAGUGA